GGAGAGGAGGCUCGGUGGUUAAGAGCACUGGCUGCUUAUCCAGAGGACCUUGGUUCAAUUCCUAGUAUCUGCA
rnacentral:tRNA from 1 species